CAAAAACAUGGCUCCUUGAUAUUCAGCAAUAAGGAGUCGGACCUGCCCAGUGAAUAUUUUCAACGGCCGCGGUACUCUGACCGUGCAAAGGUAGCAUAAUCAUUUGCCUUAUAAUUGAAGGCUAGUAUGAAUGGUUUGACAAGAAUAUAGCUGUCUCUUUAUAAUUUAAUAGAAUUUUAUUUCUAGGUGAAGAAGCCUAAGUUUAAUUAAAAGACAAGAAGACCCUAUCGAGCUUAAAAAAAUUUAAUAGGGCCUAAAAUUAAUAUUAUUAAAAAAUUAUCUAUUAAGAACUUUAGUUGGGGCGACUGAGGAACAUAUAAAGCUUCUUUUACAAAUAGUUUUCACACUUGAAUUGAUCCAAAAUAUUUUGAUUAAAGAAAUUAGUUACCGUAGGGAUAACAGCAUUAUCUUCUUUAAGAGUUCGUAUCGAAAAGAAGGUUUGUGACCUCGAUGUUGGACCAGAAUAUCCUAAAGGUGCAGCAGCCUUUAAGGGUUGGUCUGUUCGACCAUUAAAAUUCUACGUGA
rnacentral:rRNA from 1 species